rnacentral:rRNA from 1 species
CAGCCGCCGCGGUAAUACGAAGGGGGCUAGCGUUGCUCGGAAUCACUGGGCGUAAAGGGUGCGUAGGCGGGUCUUUAAGUCAGAGGUGAAAGCCUGGAGCUCAACUCCAGAACUGCCUUUGAUACUGGAGAUCUCGAGUUCGGGAGAGGUGAGUGGAACUGCGAGUGUAGAGGUGAAAUUCGUAGAUAUUCGCAAGAACACCAGUGGCGAAGGCGGCUCACUGGCCCGAUACUGACGCUGAGGCACGAAAGCGUGGGGAGCAAACAGGAUUAGAUACCCCCGUAGUCCCUGUCUCUUAUAC